GAGAAUGGCCAGAGACUCCCUUCAGCUCGCUACACCAACAGUCCUGCCUGGAAAUACACAGAGAGCAGCGCUUAUUCAAUGAGCAGCACACUAAACACAUCCAAAACUGAGGACAAGGAGUCUACGUAUUCUUGUGUUGUCAAACAUGAGUCCUCUGAAACGCCGUUUAAAAGAACUAUAAAGGAUGUUGUAGCUCCUAUCAUAGUGACACUGAACCAACCAAGUCCCUCCCAAAUUUUCACCAGCAAUCACGUAGAGUUGGAGUGUGUCAUUACUGGACAGGACGAGACCAUUGUAAAUGAAACUCAUAUCACUUGGCAAAUUAAUGGACAAGCUGUGACCAACAACAUUCCUGAAUCAACAAAAUCCAGCGGUGGACAGCACAGCAAAACCAGCACGAUGACUCGUAGUCUGACUGAGUGGCAGAGAGUCAACAAAGUGCGCUGUUCUGCCAUUAAAGACAACAUGACACCAGUUAUUGAAGAUCUGACUGUCCACAAAGGAGAUGGGAGUGAGCCAAAAGUGACAGUCCAUGUUCUCCCAGAGGAGGACAUCAGCAAAGGAGCUGUGGUCUCUAUGGUGUGUCUAGUCUCUGGUCCUGUGCUGCAGGAUUACUACAUCGCCUGGUCAGAAGGUUCUGGAUAUAAGGAUGGCAUUAACUUCCCCCCACAGAAGACCCAGCAAGGCUACUUAGUUACAAGUGUUUACACCACCAUCAAGGAAAAGUGGGACAAGCACAACCAGUUUAACUGCAACGUCUGGCCUGCUGGUAGAAAUAGGGCCAUGGAACCCAAAGGAGUGUCUAAGGACCAUGGUGAAUCACUUGAAUGUAGAAAAUAGUAGAUCCAGCUUUAAAUGUGGUAUUUUGUGCUAAUGUGUUCCUCUGUCUCUGUGUGUACUGCAAAAAUGCCCAUUGAGUGAAGAGUGUACAUAUAUAUAUAUAUAUAUAUAUAUGAUAAACAUAAAAAGCUUUUGUUGUGAACAUCCAAAAUAAAACCACAUCAAGUCAA